CGCCCAAGACGAACCUCAUUAUGCUAACCACGCGAUCUGCCGGCGACCUUCGGGUCAAGGGUGGGGAGUCUGGGAUCCUGGUGGGUAGUAGUUUAGCGAU
rnacentral:rRNA from 1 species